rnacentral:misc_RNA from 1 species
AAAGGUUUGGACAAAAAUAUGUGGGGAAGGUUGCCAAUCCACAGGAUAUUCUCAUAUUCUCAAAAUCUUCAAAGAAGUUUGGCAAGGAAGCUAAAUUUGAUGAUUCUGAGCGGCUUCGCCCUGAAGAAUUGAAUCAGCAAAACAUUGAAGCUUUAGUUGCUGAGAGCAAUUUGAAAAUGGAGGUACUUCCAGUCAGCGAUCUGGACGUUGCCCUG